AUGGUGGGCUCGCUGCCAGAAGAGCGAUGGCGUUUUACCGGGUUCUACGGAGAACCUAGAUGGGAGGACAAGCAUCUGUCGUGGACGUACCUGCGCGGCCUGCAUACUCACUAUAAUGCACCUUGGGUUGUCGCGGGAGACUUCAACGAAAUUCUUUAUUCGCAUGAGAAGGAAGCAGGAGCCCCGCGGCCGAUACGCAUGAUGCAGGACUUCCGUGAUGCAUUGGUUGACUGCGAGUUGGAGGAUAUGGGAGCGGUGGGUGAUCAGUUUACAUGGCGUCGGAGACGGCUGCGUCAAUGACUUGACAGAGUGGUCUGCAAUGGGAGCUUGCAUGGUCUGUUCCCGAAUGCAUUUGUGACCAACGCACCACAUAUUAAGUCUGACCAUAGGCCUCUUGUGUUGAACCUAGAAGGAGAGGUGGAUGUGGACAGUCAACAGCGUAAUACCUCAAAGCAGUUUGAGGCAAGUUGGCUCAAAGAAGAUGAUGUCACGAAUAAGGUAACUGAGGCGUGGGAAAAAUCUGCAGGCCUGCGAUCAUUAGCAGACCGUACCACAUCAGUGCAUGCAGACUUACACAUAUGGGAUAGGGAGGUUCUUAAUCCCCCCAGCGUCGGCUUAAGAAGCUAA
rnacentral:rRNA from 1 species